ensembl:lncRNA
AUGCAUGUCCUGAUUCCGCCACUAGAGGUCACUGUCCCACCACAAUCUCCCCACGCCGAGUUCCACCUCCCUUCCCUCUUAACUCAAAUUAGCACGGUAUUAAUUAACACUGUAGUCUAUCAACCGGCGUUCCUCGGCACACUGCAAAGGCAGGGUUUGUGUAGAACAAAGAAAACAACAACAAACACUAACGUUCAUUUUAUUUUCCAAGGGCCACCAAACAAAUCCUUCGUCAUCCCUCACAAACCGGAAGGCGGACGUCCAAGAAUCAGACAUCUGGAGAUAAUGAUACGGCAUGACAAUCACACAAAAAAGAUGCAGGACUUUUCUAACUUGAUCUGAAGAUGCCAGGCAAGGUGUGUUCUCUGCCACUAAGCCACUGCUACUAAUAUCAUCCCCACAGCACACAUGACAGGUCAGUAUCCUCUCUUGCCCUCUUUUCCAGUGAUGUGCAAGUGGCUCUGGAUAGGUAUUUUGUGUUUUAAUGAAAGGUGGAAACAGGAAAGAGGCCUUUGUUUUUGUUUUUGUUUCUGUGUUUUGAUGAUUCCUCAAAGAGAACCUUUAAAUCACACAUGAUUUGUGUUAAUGAAAAAGGGGGGCAUGAAAGUCAUGUUAUUUCAUGUUUUGUUUUGUUUUUUCUUUUAAUCUUUCUUUCCCACCUUUGUAUGUCAAAUCACUAGGGAAUCUUUUAAUCCAAUGACAUCAGGAGGUUUGCUAUCAGCAGCCAAACAUGAGAUUCUAGGGGCCCGAGAAAUUUUGUUAAACAGUUUAGAUCGGUUGGAAGCCCAUGAGGAGAGUUCUUCACAGUCCUCCUUUGUGGAUUGGAUUACUGAGUGCUGUUGAGCUCUUGGUGCCCUCCAUCUUGGAUUAUGCUGUUUGCAUACUGCUGCCUGAAGGACUCAAAGGACAAGAGAAGGGACCGAGUGUGUGAUUGGUGGAUGGGAGGUAAUUUUACUUUGAGUUGAUUAGUUGAUUUUUAACAUGUUAUUAAUGUACUGUGCAUUUGUUAAGUUAGAGAUUUAUAUUUUUGUGAGGUUUGUGAGACUGAUUUAUUUUCUUUGUGUUGUUGUUUUUGGUUACUUUUUUAGGGUGCCUAUUGCUUUUUGAAUUGACUGAUGGAUUGGUGAGGUAUUUUCUCCCCCAGGUCUGAUGAUGAUUUUUGUUUGCCAUGUACUUUUGCCUGUGUUUGAAAUAGAUUGAUUUUCUGUUGUCUUACCUCUCUGCAUUUCAGAAUAGUUUUUAAGGGUUCUAUAGGGCUUUUGGAGAGCCAGAACAAUGAAUGAGAAACCUAAAAUGAAAGAACCUGAAAGAGGUUUCCCCUCUGUGUAGACACAAACAUGAAAGAAAAGCCAAAGAGGCCCUCACUAAAGAAUCUGAAACAAGAAACACAUUUUUUGCUGUGAACAUCUGUAUGAGUGAUCACCCCAUGUGCCAAUACCAUCUGCAACAUCAUAUAUCACAAAUCAUAUAAUGAUCCUGAAUGCUAAAGGGUUCCCCAACCCCAAGAAUAUAUUUUCUGGGAGUAGAGGGGCUGCAGCAGGGAAAAAAAGAGGAAAGGCCUGCUCCAGGAUUGUGAAUACUGUUGCAUUCCGAGAAGGAAAUUUAGGAUUGAAAUAUUUUUUUCAACUGUUUAUGUGUUUGGAAGCAUAAUUAAGCUAAUUUUAUUCUUUGUAGUUAGCUCUGAAUGCAUUAAAAGUAUGUGGAUGUAGCAAUGGUUGGCUGUAAUGACAAAGAAUCCAUUUUUUCACAUAAAUAUUUAUUGAUUCAUGUAUUGUUCCUACUGAAAUCAGCUACAGGAAAAUGACAUAUCACACUCUAAACUCUGAAGAAAAAACUUGCAUACAUUUUGAUAGAUUUGCAUUUAACUAAAUAUUCUUAAUGUUGUAGCUUGUGUAAAGAAGCCAGUACAUCUUUACAUGUGUGGAAGUAAAUCCUAUUGUACUCAAAGAUGUAGAAGAUUGCACUGUAAACAAAUAAAAACUUGCCCUUUUUUCCCA